rnacentral:rRNA from 1 species
GAUGAACGCUGGCGGCGUGCUUAACACAUGCAAGUCGAACGGAAAGGCUCCUGCUUGCCGGGGUACUCGAGUGGCGAACGGGUGAGUAACACGUGGGUGAUCUGCCCUGCACUUCGGGAUAAGCCUGGGAAACUGGGUCUAAUACCGGAUAGGACCACAUUUUGGAUGGUGUGGUGGAAAGUUUUUCGGUGUGGGAUGAGCUCGCGGCCUAUCAGCUUGUUGGUGGGGUAAUGGCCUACCAAGGCGUCGACGGGUAGCCGGCCUGAGAGGGUGUACGGCCACAUUGGGACUGAGAUACGGCCCAGACUCCUACGGGAGGCAGCAGUGGGGAAUAUUGCACAAUGGGCACAAGCCUGAUGCAGCGACGCCGCGUGGGGGAUGACGGCCUUCGGGUUGUAAACUCCUUUCGCUAGGGACGAAGCGUUUUUGUGACGGUACCUGGAGAAGAAGCACCGGCUAACUACGUG